rnacentral:misc_RNA from 1 species
UACGUAGGUGGCAAGCGUUGCCCGGAAUUAUUGGGCGUAAAGCGCGCGCAGGCGGCCUCUUAAGUCUGUUGUGAAAGCCCCCGGCUCAACCGGGGAGCGCCAUUGGAUACUGGGAGGCUUGAGUAUAGGAGAGAAGAGUGGAAUACCACGUGUAGCGGUGAAAUGCGUAGAGAUGUGGAGGAACACCAGUGGCGAAGGCGACUCUCUGGUCUGUAACUGACGCUGAGGCGCGAAAGCGUGGGGAGCAAACAGG